UAUCAGAACUAAGUAAGAGUGUAGUCUAC
rnacentral:piRNA from 1 species